ACUCGGGCACGAUCCGCAAAAAUGCUGGAACCGACCUGAAGUUUCUAUCCUGAGGGA
rfam:Corynebacterium callunae DSM 20147, complete genome.